rnacentral:rRNA from 2 species
UACGGAGGGUGCGAGCGUUAAUCGGAAUAACUGGGCGUAAAGGGCACGCAGGCGGACUUUUAAGUGAGGUGUGAAAGCCCCGGGCUUAACCUGGGAAUUGCAUUUCAGACUGGGAGUCUAGAGUACUUUAGGGAGGGGUAGAAUUCCACGUGUAGCGGUGAAAUGCGUAGAGAUGUGGAGGAAUACCGAAGGCGAAGGCAGCCCCUUGGGAAUGUACUGACGCUCAUGUGCGAAAGCGUGGGGAGCAAACAGG